AGUGAACGCUGGCGGUAGGCCUAACACAUGCAAGUCGAACGGCAGCACAGUAAGAGCUUGCUCUUACGGGUGGCGAGUGGCGGACGGGUGAGGAAUACAUCGGAAUCUACUUUUUCGUGGGGGAUAACGUAGGGAAACUUACGCUAAUACCGCAUACGACCUACGGGUGAAAGCAGGGGAUCUUCGGACCUUGCGCGAUUGAAUGAGCCGAUGUCGGAUUAGCUAGUUGGCGGGGUAAAGGCCCACCAAGGCGACGAUCCGUAGCUGGUCUGAGAGGAUGAUCCGCCAACCUGGAACUGAGAACCGUCCCAAACCCCAACGGGGGGCAGCAGGGGGGAAUAUGGGAAAAGGGGCGCAACCCUGUCCCAGCCAUCCCGGGGGGGUGAAGAAGGCCUUCGGGUUUUAAAGCCCUUUUUUUGGGAAAAAAAAGCAGCAGGUUAAUCCCCCGCUUUUCUGACGGAACCCAAAGAAUAAGCCCCGGCUAACUUCGU
rnacentral:rRNA from 1 species